rnacentral:lncRNA from 1 species
CCUGGUACCGUUAUUCCUCAGGUCUGAGGGUCAGAUCGUAAGUUUUCCCGAUCUGACUCCUUGUUCUUGUCUGAAUCGACCAAGCUUGGGAGAUUCAUCUUAAAUUUAGGAAAACUUAGAAAAUGUGAAAUCACUUGGGUUGGAAUCCUCCUUCUGAGUAGAAUCCAAUAGAAUGGGAUUUCACACCUUUCCUGUAGUUUUGCUACAGUUUUGGGGCUAAAUCUUG